UGUGGCGGCGCUACUUGCGCAGUACAUUUUGAAACAGAAACUGGAAACUGCACACACACAAAAUAAAAAAGAAAAAUGUACAAAGUAUUUAAAAAUUUAUGAAGAUAUCGCUAUUGGCAUUUUAAAUUCCUGUUUAUAACGAAGACAGGAAGAGAACUUGGUAUCUCCUGGUCAAAGAAAUUCCCGAGUUUAAUGAAUCCUGCAUUACCGUAGCCUUGAAGACUGAAAACAAACAGUUCUUGCAACAUCAAGCCUGUGCAGAAGUAAACAGUGUCAGCUGGUCGAAAUAUCUUGGCAAAGAUCUUGGGGCAAACCUUGAAAAAGAUUUGGAUUUUUUUUCACAAUUACAACCUGACAUCAGAGAGACUUUUCUUUCACCCAAAGGACGUUGCCGAAUGGAUAUGAUCGCCUACUUGCUGUUCUUAACGGCUUACUCUUUCCUCCUGGUCUCAACACUUCACCAGACAACGUUUCACUGGCUGGAGGCCGUGGUCAUUGUCUAUUUAAUUAUCUUCUUCAUAAAGGAGUAC
rnacentral:sRNA from 1 species